AAAACUAGCGUGGCCUCUGAAAAAUGAAAGAAGAAAACCCUAAAUCCUCAUAUCCCACUUACUCCCCUUCAUUCUCAAGCCUCUAUCUUUUCUCUUAGGAUUCUCUUCUUCAAGGCUUAAAGCUGGCUACUGUGGUUGUCAAUAUACUAGUCGUUGGGUACAACGUAUACGGGAAACAAGAGGGCAAUGAUAUGUUUAAGUUUUCAGACACUCUGGCUAUUAAUGGUUAUUGUACGUGUUCUGCUACUUGAAUUGUGUAAUGGCAUUUGUAAGCUUUUCCUGCUCUUUAUCCAUGAUUUAUAUUAGUAAUAUAUUGAUUCUUUAGCUCUAAAUUUCAACCUCUUCAUAGUUAUUUCAAUCCUGCACAUACAAAGGCCCAUCUUGAGUCAAAUUUGAAGGGCUUGAAUCUUGGGUCUUGAUUUUCCUGCAUGGGGAUGGUUAAAGAAGCAUGAGAGGCCGUGUCUAAACUUUAAAGUUAUUGCAUUAGCUUAUUUUUAGUUUUUUAUUUGAUGUAACCCGAGAUAGGCCGCUUGUGGACUACGAGUUUGAGCUUCUUAUCAAGUUGAAAAUGUAGAUUUACUGACUCUAGUGCAUACUUAUUAUUGACUCUUAUUGAUAGUAAUGGUCUCACCUUAUGUACUCUUAAAGCUGAAUGAGUUAGAAUGCUAUAGAAAAAAUGUUCUGUACUUCGAGAAAUGACAACAAAUUUUAUGGGAAGUAUUUUCAUUUUGAUUUUUGAUAUGGCAACAUUUGAAUCACAAGUCUGGUCAAACAAAAGUAUAAUAAAAUUCUGAUUUUGGAGUUAGUACCAAACAAAAAUAUCAUAAAAUUCUCAUCUUGAAAUUAGUAAAGUGGUGGCGAAAUAGAACUCUUUGUAAAAGCAAUAUCACGAGUUGUAUGAAGAAGUUUUUCCCCCAUCUUCUCCAAUUAUUUUUCCUAGCAGGUAUCACACCAUCAGUAUGUGAUAUUCAAUUAGCUUCCUUGUAUUAUAAUCAAGCGGCCAAACAAGAAAAUUUGCAAAAAGUUGCAGAAUCCUUUCUAAACGUGCUACUAUAUAUGUACAAAACCAUAUUUUCUUAUACACAGACAAAACUGAAACCCACCCAGAGAAGCCUUGGAACUGAAUCACACAAAAAGAUAAAUAACAGCUGGAUAAAAAAUAAUGACGAGUGAACUUCUCUAUUAGUCAUUUUUUGAGAACUGAACACACAUCCACCUACGUUGACCUACGUUGAGGCUAGACAAUAGUUUGGGAUUAUUAUGUAAUAACAUGUAACAUUACUGUGAAUAUUUAAAAAUAAUUAAAUCACAUGAUGAAAUUAUGGCUAUAUGAUAUAUUUGCAAGACUUGAUUUUUGCUUGUUAGUAUUGGCAAUAAAAUCUAUCAUUUGUUGAGAUAUUUUUUGGUUUCUUAAAUUUUUGCCUUUGAGCCAAUAUACAAGGCAUAAUAGUGUUGCAUAAAACUUGUAUUUGAUUUUCCCUUUAUUUUUCAUAUAUUAUGUCCUGUUUAUUUUUAAUGAGAUUUCAAAUAAAUAUUGAUGAUCUUGAACUUUAUAAGGAAUAUAUGUGGAUAAAAGUAGGCUAGAUAUUAAAGAUAAAGGCUAUUUAACAUAUAUUAGAGGAGUAGAUGACUUUCUAGAAUAGGCAUUUAGUCAACAUGGGGUGACAAACAAAAUAUGAUGUCCUUGCAAAAAAUUUAUGAAUGUUAUAUUCAAAGUGAAGAGAGAUGUUAGGACAGACUUAUUGACUAAAGGUUUUUGGGAUAGUUAUAAAGUGCAAGACUUGCAUGGGGAAAUUAGAAGAUUUUCAACAGAUUAUGGGACUUCUAAUAAUAAUGCAGUAGAAAAUGACACUGAGGAGGAGGAGGAGAACCUUGUAAGGAUGGUAUGUGAUACAUAUGGAGUUCCCUAUAUAGAUGAUGUGAAUAUUGGGUUAAAUGAGGGUGAGGAGCCUAAUGUCCAUGCUAAAAAAGUUCUUUGACUUAUUAAAAGAUGCAGAAACAAAACUUUAUCCUGGUUGUGGUAAGAUCUCAAAAUUAUCUUUUAUUGUGAAGCUAUUUCAAUUAAAGUGCUUUAGCCAUUGAAGUAAUAAAUUUAUGGAUGCAUUAUUGGUCUUAUUAAAAGAUAUUCUCCUAAAAGGGGCUUUAAUCCCAAACUCUUUCUUUGAAGCUAAGAAGAUAAUUCGUGAUUUGGGCUUAGAUUAUAACAAAAUUUAUGCUUGUAGAAAUGAUUGUUUAUUAUAUCAAGGGGAGCAUGAAAAUGCAAAAUUAUGUCCUAAGUGCAAGAUGCCUAGAUGGAAAUUAAAAAAAAAAAAGAAAGAGAAAAAUGUUCCACAAAAAGUCUUGAGACAUUUUCCAGUAACACCUAGACUAUAGAGGCUUUAUAUGGUAAGGGACACAACUAAAGAAAUGAGGUAGCAUAAGGAGAAACGUAUAGAUGAUGGUGUAAUGAGACAUCCAGCUAAUUCUCUUGCUUGAAAACACUUUGACCAACAAUAUCCUAGCUUCUCUGCUGAUCCAAGGAGUGUUCAAUUGGGUUUGGCUAGUGACGGAUUUCAACCUUUUAGGAAGAUGAGUGCCAAUCAUAGCUUUUGGUUGGUUGUUUUAGUACUAUAUAACUUGCCACCUUGGCUUUGUAUGAAGAGCUCAUACUUUAUGAUGACACUUCUUAUUCCUGGUCCUAAGUGUUUAGGUGAUGAAAUAGAUGUUUACUUGCAACCAAUGAUUAAGGAGUUGAAACAACUAUGGGAAGUAAGUGUUCAAACAUAUGAUGCACAUUUUAAAUCAAAUUUCAUCAUGCAUGCAACAACUUUAUGGACAAUAAAUGACUUUUCUGCAUAUGGAAACCUUUCAGGAUGGUCAACAAAGGGCAAGCUUGCAUGCCCAUGUUGCCAUAAAGACACACAUUGCAUUUCACUAAGGAGCAAAUUGUCUUACAUGGGUCAUAGAUGCUUUCUUCCACAAAAUCACCCAUGGCGUAAAAAUAAGAUAUCAUUUGAUGGAAAAGAAGAACAUGGUUAUCCACCAAUUAGAUUAACCAGUGAUCAAGCACUUCUGUAACUAGAAAAACUAGGAAACGUGUCAUUUGGGAAAGGGUAGAAGCAAAAGCGUCAAAAACACACUGAGACCCUCAAUUGGAGGAAAAAAAGCAUUUUUUUUAAUUGCCUUAUUGGAAGAAUUUACUAAUACGACAUAAUCUUGAUGUGAUGCACAUAGAAAGAAACGUCUAUGAUAAUAUUGUGUCCACUAUAAUAGGUUUGGUUGGAAAGACAAAAGACACAUUGAAUAAUAGGUUUGAUUUGAUGGACUUGGGUAUUAGGAGUCAUUUGCACCCAAUCGAACAUGGUAAUUUUUCCAUGCCUCCUGCUUCUUACAUAUUGUCCCUUGAAAAAAAAAAUCUCUUUGCCAAUUCUUAGGUAACUUGAAGGUACCUGAUGUAUUUGCAUCUAAUAUCUCAAGGUAUGUGAACAUUCAUGAAUGAAAAAUAUUUAGUUUGAAGUGUCAUGAUCAUCAUGUGCUAUUACAAGAAAUACUUCCAAUUGCAAUAUGUGGAUUGUUACAUUCUAAAUUAUGUGAACUGAUUAUAGAAUUGGGAAGAUUCUUUAAGAAUCUUUGUUCAAAGUGUUUGACAUGUGAAGAACUUAACAAGCUUCAAACUCGAAUUGUAUUAAACUUGUUCAAGUUCGAGACUAUUUUCCUAUCUACUUUUUUUGACAUUAUGGUUCACUUGCCAAUACACUUGGCAAGAAAGGCAAAA